UGUAAAUUUUUAUCUAAAUUAUUUUUUCCACAUAUAUGAAUUAUAUUAUAAAUAUUCAAUAACUCUUCUAAGUUAUUUCUAAUAGCUUCAUUUAUACUUUUUGCACCUAAGCUCCCACCGAUUACAAGUAAAAUUUCUUUAUUUUCUUUAAAAUCACAUA
rnacentral:ncRNA from 1 species